rnacentral:lncRNA from 1 species
AUUGUUUUUCUAAACAGGAAUAGCCCAGACUAGAGAAGGGAAGUGCAAGAUAUUCAAUUAUGCUUAUUCUUUUCAUUAGUGAAGUUGCCCAGAUUAAUAGACGCUGAGUAAGGAAAUUACAUUAUACUUAUUUGUAAUAGGUUCUGAGGGCAGCAGAGAAAGCCAGCGCGGCAUGACAGAGGUCUGAUGCCCUAGGAGUUGGGCACGUUGCUGAGAUAGGAAACACAGCAUGAACAAGACAAACAUGACAUUUGCCCUUAUAGAUGCUGACCAGCACAAGGAGUGUCCCUAAUUUCUACUCCUGCUCCCUCGGCAGGCAUCACUAAUCAACAAAGACAGUGUUUCCCCUGAGCUUGGAUCUCCUCAACUCAGUGUUCUUUGGCAGUUACUGAGAUUGGAUCAGAAUUGGCAUGGGAAUUAAACAUACAUGGCUGUAUAUUACAUGCAUAUGUAGCAGGCUACGAUAUUGGAUUUUCAACCUAGAGACCCAGGCACAAUAGAUAACAAGAACCGAAGUAAAGUUUGACACAGAGCACCAAGAUGAAAAUUAUUAAGUCAAGUUUGAAGUUUUUAUUUGGGAACUGUUUACAAGAUGUUGGGUCUCUUUCCAGGGGCCCUUCACCAAGAUAAAAAAAUUGACAUCACUCUACAUUUCUAUGUAGAAAUGACAUUAAGAGCCACACUUCUCUUAAGGAGUCCUAUCCCCUUCAGCCAAGGCUAUUGAGGAGUGUUUUCAGGGACAACUUGGCAAGUUUGCAGGUAAAAGGCCACAGAGCACUGGUACCACAAUCAUGCGUGAGAAAGCUGAAGUGGCUUGUAUGGAAGAGAAGAAACCAGCAGCUGGGAAGAAAACGCAUUCCUCACCAACUCAAGUCAAGAGGGGUGUGAAUUCUGGGUCAGAGGGCAUCAUAUUGAUGAUGUUUUAAAAUGAAUCUUGCCCAAAGCUUUUCCUUACAGGGUAAGGGGAUGCAAAGUGGUAACAGGCUGAAAGGUAUACCACCAGGGACAGAAACUGAAGUGGGAUUGGAGACUAAAGACUCAAGGAAAGACACUCCCCAUGUCACAGGAGUUGCAACUGUUGGGGCCUAGCAGAGGAAACUUCAAAGCACUCACAAAAGCACCUGCAUGAGAAAGGCAGCUUUAAAACAUCUGCAAGGUCUAGAAAGCCUGACAUCUACCUAUGACAGUGAUGGUCUUGUAAGAAGUAUCAUCAUUCUUGUCACUUUUAUAUCCAACCUCCCCGAACCCCAGCUGGUGGAAGAAGGAAGAAAACUUCCCUGCUGCUUGCUAUAGGCUUCAGCUGAGGGAGGAAGUAAGAUUUAACUUUAAGUCAAGAUAGGACUUUUUAAUAUUAUCUGGGAAAAGAAAUUUACAUCACUUGAGAUCAUAUUUGUUACUUAAAGUUAUCAUAGGUCUUUCUAUUACCUAAGAGUGACCAAAAAGGUUGUAGAAAUGUCUUCAUUGUCACUCAAGGGCAGAGGAUGGCCUGCAAGUACUGAAUGGGUUUAAUGGAACACUGGAAAACAAAAAUAAUACUGCUUAUUUAAGUUAUUUAUGCAUUCAUUCGUCUGUUCCCCCAUCAUGUAUUUGUUGAACACCUACUAUGUGCCAGAAACUCUUCUAGGUACUGUAUAUAUGUCAGUGAAGACAAUAUAUUAAAAAAAAAUCUCUUGCUUCACAGAGAUUUAUAGUAGGGAGUGUAUGUUCAAUGUCCUGGAGAUGUGUACAUGUAAGCAUACAUAGAUGGAUAGAUGAGGCAUGAUAGAGUGAGUUACCCAGACUUUCUAUUUAUUUUCUAUCAUUUCUUUAAAGUUUCAGUGAAACCCUAAGAUCGUAUAGCUAGGGAAAAUGUUGUGAUUCUGGUCCUCUAUUGCGUUAAUUAUACGUGAAGUUGUCUUCUUAUGUUCUAUGCUCAUCUUUCAUUCAAAUUGUCAUAUUCUUGUAUCGCAGUUGCUAAAUGAAUUAUAGAGCUUUUCUAGUCUGUCUGUCAAAUUUAAGUAUGGCUUUUCUUCAAUUAUAUAUAUAACUCAACUUAAUUUGUUUUGAAUAUUUUUUGUAAUGCUACAAGUUUCUGCUUAAAAUUACUUCUGCAUAAUCUGUUACAUAAAAAUGGGCUAUUUUCUUGCUUUUUAGUACACACAAACAUUGGGAAGAAAUUUGGACUCUGGUGACAAUUUUUUUGUUGGUUUCCCAGCAGGGAAGAAUUAGCAAAAUUUGUGUUAUAUGCAGUAUAGUCAGGUUCUAGGCUGGUAAUUUACUUUGACCAUUCCUCUAUCCUUGCCUCAGCCCCCCACCCCUCCAACACACAGCCUGUCUUUUAGGUCCUAUUAGUACAGGACUGGAGAAAAGACCACUUUGACUUAUGAUGGGAAGAGAAAAAUGUUCAUGUUGAAUACUCUACUACUGUGUAAAAUCUCUUUAUUCUAUUCUGUAGCUUCUGUCUGAAAAAUUUACUGUAUAAUUCUUUCAUGUUCAUUUAUGUAUGGUGGAACAAAUGCAAAACUGAUGAAGUCCAACUUUUGAGAUUGCAACGUUUUGAUUGUUUAGCAGAAGGAAAAUGAUGACACUUUUUAUUAAAAUAUUAAAAUAAUUAUUAAUUGGUAUUUAAAACAAUAAAUUUAUAAAACAUUUAAAACUUUAAAUUCUGCGAGGUAUUUACUUAUUAAAAAACCUUUUUAUGAAAAUAUCAUCCCUAUUCUCUACUCGUAACAUUGUAGCUAUUGCCAAGUUUCAAUUCCAUAAGCUCUUUUUAAACACGGUAUUGAUGUUGUUUAUACU